rnacentral:rRNA from 1 species
GACAGAGGUGCCGAGCGUUUAGGCGGAAUCACUGGGCUUAAAGCGUGUGUAGGCGGGCGGGCAAGUACCUUGUGAAAUCCCACGGCUCAACCGUGGAACGGCUGGGUAUACUGCCUGUCUUGAGCCAACUAGGGGCGAGCGGAACAGACGGUGGAGCGGUGAAAUGCGUAGAUAUCAUUUGGAACGCCAAUGGUGAAAAACAGGUAGCUGGGGGAAGUGCUGACGCUGAGACACGAAAGCCAGGGGAGGCGAACGGG